GCCUGGGUGGCUCAGUCGGUUGAGUGUCCGACUUCGGCUCAGGUCGUGAUCUCGCGGUUCGUGGGUUCAAGCCCCGCGUCGGGCU
rnacentral:tRNA from 1 species